rnacentral:rRNA from 1 species
AUUGAACGCUGGCGGCAUGCUUUACACAUGCAAGUCGAACGGUAACAGGCCGCAAGGUGCUGACGAGUGGCGAACGGGUGAGUAAUGCAUCGGAACGUGCACAGUCGUGGGGGAUAACUACUCGAAAGAGUAGCUAAUACCGCAUACGAUCUAUGGAUGAAAGCGGGGGACCGUAAGGCCUCGCGCGAUUGGAGCGGCCGAUGUCAGAUUAGGUAGUUGGUGGGGUAAAGGCUCACCAAGCCAACGAUCUGUAGCUGGUCUGAGAGGACGACCAGCCACACUGGGACUGAGACACGGCCCAGACUCCUACGGGAGGCAGCAGUGGGGAAUUUUGGACAAAGGGCGCAAGCCUGAUCCAGCAAUGCCGCGUGCAGGAAGAAGGCCUUCGGGUUGUAAACUGCUUUUGUACGGAACGAAACGGCUCUGGUUAAUACCCGGGGCUAAUGACGGUACCGUAAGAAUAAGCACCGGCUAACUACGUG